ensembl:lncRNA
GUAUGCCGUAGGGUGUAGGCAGGAUCACUAAAACCUGAGCGCAACGAGCGCCGCGAAGUGUGAGUCACUUCAUGAGAUCCAGUGAAACGAAACCGGUAGACUGAGCAGAGAAAGCGGGGCAAAAGUUCAUUUUCCCUCCAGCAGAGAAGAGCUUUGUUGUUGAUCCCGGUAGGUUUGUAAGUCUUUGUCGUCCUCUGUGUCGCCGCAGGCCUGUUUUUGUCCAGACCCGCUCCGCGUCUGAGUCGUUUUGAAACGGGCAGACUGAGAGCCGCUGGAGAAGCGGUUUUGGCGGGAAACAGAAACAGCGGGAAUAAAAGCUGGCGCGCGCAGCUUCAGAGCCCAUGUUUUUGUGACCACUGACCAUGAGUAUCAGCGGAGAGAGUUUAGAGGAGGGAACCUGCCUCUCUGUGGAGAAUGACGAGGGUGGUGCCGUUUGCUCAGAGACCAAGAGAGCAGCACCUCCACUUCCUAGCUGUGUGUCCAUGAAGAGUGACCACUCCAUGUUUGAGCCUCCUGCUUUCAGUGAUAGUAGACAGCUCCCUAGGUUUGAGAACCAACGAAUAACAUCUCUGGUUCCUAGCUGUAUGUCUAUGAAGAGUGACCACUCCAUGUUUGAGCCUCCUGCUUUCAGUGAUGGUAGACAGCUCCCUAGACUGGAGAACCAACAAACAGCAGCUGCGGUACCAAGCUGUGUGUCUGUGAAGAGUAACCACUCAAUGUUUGAGCCUCCGGCUUUUGGUGAUAAAGCAAAGCGACUGAGGUUAGAGACAAAACAGAAGAAAACAGCAUCUUCAGAACUCAGCUGUAUGUCUGUGAAGAGCAGCCACUCUAUGUUUGAGCCUCCUGCUUUCAGUAGUGGACCAAAACAUUUCACAUUCUUAAAGAUCCAGCCUCUAGCAGCUGUGGGCACUCUUUCUGCACCCAGUGUAUCAGCAGAUAUUGGGACCAGUCAGGUUCAUCAGGAAACUCUAAUUAUCCUCAGUGUACAAAGAGUUCUGGAGCACAACCUUCUUUACAGC